GAUGAACGCUAGCUACAGGCUUAACACAUGCAAGUCGAGGGGAAACGACAUCGAAAGCUUGCUUUUGAUGGGCGUCGACCGGCGCACGGGUGAGUAACGCGUAUCCAACCUGCCCACCACUUGGGGAUAACCUUGCGAAAGUAAGACUAAUACCCAAUGAUAUCCCACGAAGGCAUCCGAAUGGGAUUAAAGAUUUAUCGGUGAUGGAUGGGGAUGCGUCUGAUUAGCUUGUUGGCGGGGUAACGGCCCACCAAGGCUACGAUCAGUAGGGGUUCUGAGAGGAAGGUCCCCCACAUUGGAACUGAGACACGGUCCAAACUCCUACGGGAGGCAGCAGUGAGGAAUAUUGGUCAAUGGGCGAGAGCCUGAACCAGCCAAGUAGCGUGCAGGAAGACGGCCCUAUGGGUUGUAAACUGCUUUUAUAGGGGAAUAAAGUGAGCCACGUGUGGUUUUUUGCAUGUACCCUAUGAAUAAGGACCGGCUAAUUCCGUG
rnacentral:rRNA from 1 species